GUGCCAGCCGCCGCGGUAAUACGGAGGGUCCGAGCGUUAUCCGGAAUCAUUGGGUUUAAAGGGUCCGCAGGCGGUCAAUUAAGUCAGAGGUGAAAUCCCAUAGCUUAACUAUGGAACUGCCUUUGAUACUGGUUGACUUGAGUCAUAUGGAAGUAGAUAGAAUGUGUAGUGUAGCGGUGAAAUGCAUAGAUAUUACACAGAAUACCGAUUGCGAAGGCAGUCUACUACGUAUGUACUGACGCUGAGGGACGAAAGCGUGGGGAGCGAACAGGAUUAGAUACCCUGGUAGUCCACGCCGUAAACGAUGGAUACUAGUUGUUGGGCAUUAGCUCAGUGACUAAGCGAAAGUGGUAAGUAUCCCACCUGGGGAGUACGGUCGCAAGACUGAAACUCAAAGGAAUUGACGGGGGCCCGCACAAGCGGUGGAGCAUGUGGUUUAAUUCGAUGAUACGCGAGGAACCUUACCAGGGCUUAAAUGUAGUCUGACAGCUUUAGAGAUAGAGUUUUCUUCGGACAGAUUACAAGGUGCUGCAUGGUUGUCGUCAGCUCGUGCCGUGAGGUGUCAGGUUAAGUCCUAUAACGAGCGCAACCCCUGUCAUUAGUUGCCAGCAUGUAAAGAUGGGGACUCUAAUGAGACUGCCGGUGCAAACCGCGAGGAAGUGGGGAUGACGUCAAAUCAUCACGGCCCUUACGUCCUGGGCCACACACGUGCUACAAUGGUAUGGACAAU
rnacentral:rRNA from 1 species